GGUGGAGGUGGGGUAAAGGACAGGUGAGGUAUAUAUAGGAGAUGCAAGGCAGGUAAGGAACACAGAUUACCUGAGAUCUUGUUGCAAGCUACUGAGGCAGAUAUGCAGUGGCGCGCCCUCCUGGUCCUGGUGGUGGUGGUGGUGCUGGCGGCCUAUGCCAACGCUAAGGCCUGCUGCAGGGGAGGCAACCACGGGGGAGGACACCAUGGGGGAGGAGGAUUCGGGGGCGGCGGAGGCUUCGGCGGAGGUAGCGGAGGUGGAUUCGGUGGCGGCCUGGGCGGCGGUGGAGGCUGGGGCAAGUAAAUUUCCAGCCGUUAAUGACCCUCUGAAGACAUCCCUUGGACCCACAACCCUCUCUGGAAUAAUUCAUUACUCUUACUUCCUUCCUUCCUUCCUUUUUUCUCCUCCACUACUGAAUCCUGUUACUCUAUCUUACUCUUUCUACUCCUUUCUACUCCUCCUCCUCUCCUUCCUACUUUCUACCUCUUCUGUAUCCUUCAUCCAGAGCAGAGGACGCCCUGGAAAAAUCUUUUGGAAUCCUACAAAACCACAUUGAGUAGGAUUCCAUGUCUGUCUGUCUGUCUGUUCGUCUGUUUCUAUCAGUUUUGAAUAAAAGUUUGUUUCUUAUAUAAAAAAAAAAUUGUUGAAGCUGUUAAUUCUUCUUUGUUUGUCAAUAAAUGAUUGGAUUUGGUC